UCAGUGAAAUUGAACUCGCUGUGAAGAUGCAGUGUACCCGCGGCAAGACGGAAAGACCCCGUGAACCUUUACUAUAGCUUGACACUGAACAUUGAGCCUUGAUGUGUAGGAUAGGUGGGAGGCUUUGAAGUGUGGACGCCAGUCUGCAUGGAGCCGACCUUGAAAUACCACCCUUUAAUGUUUGAUGUUCUAACGUUGGCCCCUAAUCGGGGUUGCGGACAGUGUCUGGUGGGUAGUUUGACUGGGGCGGUCUCCUCCUAAAGAGUAACGGAGGAGCACGAAGGUUGGCUAAUCCUGGUCGGACAUCAGGAGGUUAGUGCAAUGGCAUAAGCCAGCUUGACUGCGAGCGUGACGGCGCGAGCAGGUGCGAAAGCAGGUCAUAGUGAUCCGGUGGUUCUGAAUGGAAGGGCCAUCGCUCAACGGAUAAAAGGUACUCCGGGGAUAACAGGCUGAUACCGCCCAAGAGUUCAUAUCGACGGCGGUGUUUGGCACCUCGAUGUCGGCUCAUCACAUCCUGGGGCUGAAGUAGGUCCCAAGGGUAUGGCUGUUCGCCAUUUAAAGUGGUACGCGAGCUGGGUUUAGAACGUCGUGAGACAGUUCGGUCCCUAUCUGCCGUGGGCGCUGGAGAACUGAGGGGGGCUGCUCCUAGUACGAGAGGACCGGAGUGGACGCAUCACUGGUGUUCGGGUUGUCAUGCCAAUGGCACUGCCCGGUAGCUAAAUGCGGAAGAGAUAAGUGCUGAAAGCAUCUAAGCACGAAACUUGCCCCGAGAUGAGUUCUCCCUGACUCCUUGAGGGUCCUGAAGGAACGUUGAAGACGACGACGUUGAUAGGCCGGGUGUGUAAGCGCAGCGAUGCGUUGAGCUAACCGGUACUAAUGAACCGUGAGGC
rnacentral:rRNA from 1 species